rnacentral:lncRNA from 1 species
GGAGUUGGAUGUUGUCGAUGUGCGUGACGAUCACAAGAUCAAGAUGAAUGCAAUGCGCUUGAAGAUUAGAAACAUUAGAAAAUAUACCAUUCUUACUGAGGCUUGGUAUCAUUAUGUCGUUGGAUCAAUUUGUACCUUAGUUGCGGUUAUGAUCGCAUUUGUUGUUGCAUUUAAAUUUAGUAGUUUCAAUGUAUGUUCUAAUUAGAUGCUUUAGAGAG